rnacentral:sRNA from 1 species
AUUGUCAUUGUAUCUUGAAUUUACCCCUAAUUUCAGUUGGUUCUCUUGGACUUUGGGGCUAGUAGAGAGUUCAGUAAAAAGUUUGUUGAUAAAUACAUUCUAGUCAUCAAGGCAGCUGCUGAUGGUAACAGAAAGGAAGUUUUACUUAGAUCUAGGGAUCUGGGUUUUCUGACAGGAUAUGAAACAAAGGUGAUGGAAGAUGCCCAUUGUGAUGCUGUUGCAAUUCUUGGAGAAGCUUUCUCUGUGGAUGUUUUUGACUUUGGCCAACAGAGUGUGACAGCCCGUGUACAGAGCCUGAUCCCUGUCAUGAUGAAACAUAGGUUAACUCCACCACCAGAAGAAACUUACUCACUCCAUAGGAAAAUGUCUGGUGCCUUUUUGUUGUGUGCUAAACUUAAAGCACAAGUUAAUUGUAAGAGUUUAUUCGAUAAAAUUUGGAAAAAUUAUCAAUUUGAAAACAGUAAUGACUUACAAUUAUAAUAGUUUAGCAACAGUAGAACUAGUAACCUAUUAGUAGUGAAUGUAAUUUAUGAUUUUGUCUAAUUGUACUUCAAUAGUACUAACAAGCUCAGUUAUUUGAACGUUAUUUAUUUAUCUGUAACUUGUUAACUGUAAUUCAAAGGUAUUUGUGUAGGAAGCUUCAGUCAAACUUGUGGAACUGCAAGCAUUGGUGGUUUUCAGUUUUCUGGAAUUGUUGAUCAUUCAUACAAACCAGACUAUUUUUCCCAUAAAACUUGCCAUCACAUUUUGUACAGCUCAAAACUCUAAGGGCUGAACUGAGACUUAUCUUUCUAUGGUCACACUUUCCAAGCUUUUAGUACACUUUCAUCCACUAGCGGAUCUAGAACUUUUGAAGAGGGGGGUGGGGGUUCAAACCCUAACCCUAUGUAUAAACGCACACACAGAGCAUAUAGUGGUCCAUAUAACAAUUAGAGCAGUGUUUCUUAAUGUCCAUAUUACAAUUAGAGCAGUGUUUCUUAAUGUUCUGGAAAAAAAAAAGCUAUGUUGGUGGCCCUUCUCUUGACUGCUGGGGGUCUGGCAAGCACUGUAAGCUCCUCAACUGGAGUUUGGGGUGGAGGACAGCAUUUUCUUGCAUUCUUAACUGCAGAAACACAUUUUCUUGACAUCUAAAGCUUCAUCCUAUUAAAAAACGCAGGUCACAAUUUAAGUAAAAUAAAGUAACUUUGGGGGGGGGGGGGGUUCAAGGGCAGAUACUGAAAUGUGACUGACAAUUGAGGCACAAGUAGUGUAAGUAUAUCUUUAUUAGGCGUAUUUAUCAUAAUAUUAUCUCAUGUUAAGUGAGACCUUUUUUGCUAGGCCUGUUUUGUUAGAUGUUAACAGAACAAUGGUUAAAUGUUUUUUGGAUAUUCUGCUGUUUUGAUGCGCACAAAAUGUCUUGUAUUUUUAAGAAUGUUUUGAAUAAUGUUUUUAUUUUUUUUAAAUGUAAUAUAAAUUGAUAGACCCUUACUACAUAGCAAAUACAAUCUAUUUGUUCCUUGAAAAGAAAAGAUAGCCCUCAUAUUAAGUUGAUUUAAUUUAGAUUAAGGCUUUGAGAUCGCUGUCAAAAAAAAUUUCUUCAAAAAAUAAAAUUUGUUCAUCUUUAAGUGA